rnacentral:rRNA from 2 species
AUAGGAUCUUCUCCUUCAUGGGAGAUGAUUGAAAGAUGGUUUCGGCUAUCACUUACAGAUGGGCCCGCGGUGCAUUAGCUAGUUGGUGAGGUAACGGCUCACCAAGGCAACGAUGCAUAGCCGACCUGAGAGGGUGAUCGGCCACACUGGGACUGAGACACGGCCCAGACUCCUACGGGAGGCAGCAGUAGGGAAUCUUCCGCAAUGGACGAAAGUCUGACGGAGCAACGCCGCGUGAGUGAUGAAGGCUUUCGGGUCGUAAAACUCUGUUGUUAGGGAAGAACAAGUACGAGAGUAACUGCUCGUACCUUGACGGUACCUAACCAGAAAGCCACGGCUAACUACGUGCCAGCAGCCGCGGUAAUACGUAGGUGGCAAGCGUUAUCCGGAAUUAUUGGGCGUAAAGCGCGCGCAGGCGGUUUCUUAAGUCUGAUGUGAAAGCCCACGGCUCAACCGUGGAGGGUCAUUGGAAACUGGGGAACUUGAGUGCAGAAGAGAAAAGCGGAAUUCCACGUGUAGCGGUGAAAUGCGUAGAGAUGUGGAGGAACACCAGUGGCGAAGGCGGCUUUUUGGUCUGUAACUGACGCUGAGGCGCGAAAGCGUGGGGAGCAAACAGGAUUAGA